GUCUCAGAACAGCCUAGUCUCUCAGUCAGGAUAGUAGUUGACAGGUCUCAGAACAGCCUAGUCUCUCAGUCAGGGUAGUAGUUGACAGGUCUCAGAACAGCCUCAUCUCUCAGUCAGGAUAGUAGUUGACAGGUCUCAGAACAGCCUAGUCUCUCAGUCAGGGUAGUAGUUGACAGGUCUCAGAACAGCCUAGUCUCUCAGUCAGGGUAGUAGUUGACAGGUCUCAGAACAGCCUCAUCUCUCAGUCAGGAUAGUAGUUGACAGGUCUCAGAACAGCCUAGUCUCUCAGUCAGGGUAGUAGUUGACAGGUCUCAGAACAGCCUAGUCUCUCAGUCAGGGUAGUAGUUGACAGGUCUCAGAACAGCCUAGUCUCUCAGUCAGGGG